rnacentral:lncRNA from 1 species
ACUGAGCUAUUCAAAAUUCGAUAGUGGGUGUUGUUAUUCUAUCGUUUACAUCUCAAUUUUUGCAUAAGUAUAGUUUAAUCUUUUUAGCUUUCGGGGAUUUCUGUUACCUUUUGCUAACUAGGGAUUUAUGUGUAGUUAUGUUUCGUAUCUUUGAUUGUGUGGAUUUUUUAGGUGGAGAUCGCGAGGUGAUUAAUCCUUCAGAAAAUUAAGACUUGUGAGGGUGCUGAUUUCAUUCUAAGGUAAGUGUUUUAAUGCCAAUUUGGGGUUGUUGUGGCUAUUUGAGUUUCUCGUAUUUUGGUUUGAUUAGUAUUUUAGGAAAAUCAAAGACCAUAUCCUCUUAAUUGAUUCUCUUCCGUGGGCUAAUUCGUUAAUUGAAUGAUGUCUUUAGGUAAUGGAAUACUCAAUUCUUGAAUCAACAUCGAAAUUCGACCAAGUGUGUGACUCAAACUUAUAAAAAUGGCUAUCAACAUAAAAUCAACAAACUCACAAUCGGAGUCAUACGACAAUGUGGUAGACCAAGUGAUAGGCUGUGUUGGACCAUGUGGCCCACACGAGCUGGGAUAUUUGGGCCGUGUGGGCCACACGAGCGUGUGUUAGGCUAUGUGGGCUAUACGAGCUAGGCCAGUUGGGUGUGUGGGCCCAUUUUCUGGAAAAAUUGUCACUUAGGGCUAUUUUGAUCUGUGAUUCAUAAUUAGAUUCUUCGUAGGGUCUGAUCUGCUUAAUAAGACUUGAAAAUGAGGUAUAUGUUAACAUGCUUAUGUAUAUGAUGUGUUCAAGGUAUGUGAAUUAUGUAUAUGCGAUCUGUGUUUUGUCAACUCUGAUGGCAUUUUUCCAUUUUGUUAUGUUGUGUUUGAGCAUAUGAUGUAUGAACAUGUUAAAUUCUAUGCCUCUGAAUUUUCUAUAUGACUACGCAUGUGACGUUAUGGCAAAUCUAAUUUGCAUUGGUUGAGAAUGUGACAUCUUCUUUGUGAAGCGUGGAGUUUCAUGCCUUCUAACUUUUGUUAUUGUAUAAUUGCAUGUUCUACAUGCUUUUCAUUCUGAUUCAAUAUAUGCAUGCCAUGUCUCAUUACAUGUGGUUUGGGAUAAUGUCUAAAGGAGGAAGUUCUAGCAGUUUAAUCAUCUGCACUAUCUGGUGAUUUAUCCAUAUUUCUGUUUGCAUCUUGGUUGUAAUAUAGUGGUUUUACCACAUAUCAAAUCUGGCAAUUUUAAUUGCAACUCUGGUGGCAUUAACCACAAUUAUCUGUUGAUGUGAUUGGAUGAACGAGUUCUGGGAAACUUUAUUUGGUGUGUAGCGGAGUUGGGUAAAAAGUUUCUACGAAAUCUACAUUAUGUUUUCUGAAAAGUAAUGCAUUGGCAUAAGCAUGUAUUCUUAGUUUUGCUCAAUUGAUUGAUAUGAAAUUCUCUUCGAUUCUAUGAUUUGAUUGUGGUGUUGUUCGUGUUCUCUGUUUGAGUUUGGUUUUACACUGAGCUUUAUAUCUCACCCUUCUGUAUUUGACUUUUCAGGUAAUCGACAAUCUUAGAAGUGGACAGCAUGCAGGAGCUCAGAUUUGUUUUCCCGCUUAAGAUGGUUUCAAUUAUUAUGAAUCA